rnacentral:rRNA from 1 species
AAGCGUUGUUCGGAAUUAUUGGGCGUAAAGCGCGUGUAGGCGGUUUUUUAAGUCUGAUGUGAAAGCCCCGGGCUCAACCUGGGAAGUGCAUUGGAAACUGGGAGACUUGAAUACGGGAGAGGGCAGUGGAAUUCCUGGUGUAGGAGUGAAAUCCGUAGAUAUCAGGAGGAACACCGGUGGCGAAGGCGGCUGCCUGGACCGAUAUUGACGCUGAGACGCGAAAGCGUGGGGAGCAAACAGGAUUAGAUACCCUGGUAGUCCACGCCGUAAACGAUGAGUACUAGGUGUCGCGGGUAUUGACCCCUGCAGUGCC